GCAUGGCCUGGCCACGAUUUUGGCAGAGAGGAGCUCUCCUCACCAGCUUCAGCCAUCACCAUGUUGCCGUGUUCCUGCUUAUGUUCUUCAGCACUUCAUUGCUCCGUGCAUCAUGAAAAAUGUUUAGCAACAUGAAAGUCAGUAUUUCCAAGCAGUGGACCCCAAAUGCUUUUAACACAUCAGUUGACCUGCCUGCAGAGAUGUGGAGCAGCAACCCUCUGUUUCCCAGCACAGAGGAAGCCACUCUUUUUCUUGGAACACUAGAUACUAUGGUUUUUUCUCCUGUGCUGUGGGCAUCUUCAUCAGUGGGUUCUGUCUUUCAGCAUGUACUCUUCUGCAUUUGUGGUGUUUGUCUUUGGUAUUCUUGCGGAAUGGCUGUACUUCUACAAGUGGUUCUACUGUGGCCUGUGGAUUGUGAACAGCCUGCUGCAGUUCACUGGUUGGCCCUGUGUGAUUGCUGUGAUGGGCAACUGGUUUGGGAAAGCUGACUGAGGAGUUUUCUUUGGUUUCUGGAGUGCCUGUGCUUCAGUGGGCAAAAUUUUGGGAGCAUGCCUGGCUUCAUCGGUUCUCCAGUAUGGUUAUGAGUACACCUUUCUGUCAUACUGUAAUCACUGCCUGAAGCUAGUGAAUUACUCCUUCGUCUUCUGGUUGCCCUUUUAUCUGAGUAACAACUUCGGGUGGAAGGAAGCUGAAGCUGACAAGUUGUCCAUUUGGUACGAUGUUGGAGGCAUCGUAGGAGGGACUCUGCAAGGCUUCAUCUAUGAUGUACUGAAGAAGAGAGCUCCUGUGCUGGCCCUCAGCCUCUUCCUGGCCAUUGGGUCCCUUGUUGGGUAUAGUCACUCUCCAAACAAUAAGUCCAUCAAGGCGCUUCUGAUAACCGUUACAGGGUUUCUUACUGGUGGAGCAUCCAAUAUGGUUAGCUCUGCUAUUUCUGCAGACUUGGGUCACCAAGAGCUGAUCCAAGGAAGCAGCGAGGCUCUGGGGACUGUCACAGGGAUCAUCAAUGGAACCAGGAAUAUUGGUGCCAGUAUCUGGUGUCUUUGAUCCAGGACAACUUAGGAUGGAUGUGGGUUUUCUACUUUUUUAUUCUCAUGACAAGUUGUACAAUUCUGUUUACCUCACCGUUAAUAUUGAGGGAAGUAUUCUCUCUUGUGCAAAGGAGACAAGUUCACACACUUAAUGAAUGA